GGCGCUGCCACCGUCGCGCCCACGCUGCUCCAGAGCCGCUUCGUGAUCUGGGCUGCGGGGGAGUUUCAGUACCCGAGUGCCGAUGCUGCUCCCUCG
rnacentral:ribozyme from 1 species